AGCGAACGCUGGCGGUAGGCCUAACACAUGCAAGUCGAACGAACCUUUCGGGGUGAGUGGCGGAUGGGUGAGUAACACGUGGGAACGUGCCUUUAGGUUCGGAAUAACUCAGGGAAACUUGUGCUAAUACCGAAUGUGUCCUUCGGGGGAAAGAUUUAUCGGCUUUAGAGCGGCCCGCGUAUGCUUAGCUAGUUGGUUUAGGAAAUGGCUCACCAAGGCGACGAUCAGCACAUGGUUAGGGAGGAUGAUCAGCGACUUUAGGACUGGGUCACGGCCCAAACUCCUACGGGAUGCAGGAGUGGCGGAUCUUGCGAAAUGGGCGAAGGCCUGACGCAGCCCUGCCUCGUGAGUGAUGAAGGUCUUAGGGUUGUAAAAUUCUUUAACCCGGGACGAUAAUGACGGUACCCAAAGAAGAAGCCCCGGCUAACUUCGUG
rnacentral:rRNA from 1 species